UUCUAGCCCCGGUAGUAGCGGCAUCCUUUUGUAGCUUUCUUUAAGCUACAAAAGAUACAGCGGAUAACGGGAAAUAGC
rnacentral:sRNA from 1 species